UUAAGAUACUAAGAGCAUACGGUGGAUGCCUUGGCGAUAUCUGCCGACGAAGGACGUGACAAGCUGCGAAAAGCUGCGGAGAGAUGCAAAUAAUCGGCGACCCGCAGACAUCCGAAUGGAGCAAUCCGGCUGUGAUGAUGCACAGCCAUCCAUGCCCAAGAGCAUGAGAAGGGAACCGGGCGAACUGAAACAUCUAAGUAACCCGAGGAAAAGAAAUCAAACGAGAUACCCCAAGUAGCGGCGAGCGAACAGGGAAGAAGCCCAAACCGGUGAAGGAAACUUUACCGGGGUUGAGGACCAUCAGACCCGCGAAGAACCUUAGCCGAAACUGUUGGGAAACAGUGCCGAAGACAGUGAAAGCCUGGUAGGCGAAAAAGAGAAACGCGGAGAUGGCACCAGAGUACCGCGGGACACGAGAAAUCCCGUGGGAAGCCGGGGGGACCACCCUCCAAGGCAAAACACAGAUAUCGACCGAUAGCGCAUAGUACCAUGAGGGAAAGGUGAAAAGCACCCCGGGAGGGGAAUGAAAGAGAACCUGAAACCGUAUGUUUACAAGCAGUCGGAGACCGCUUAAUAAUAAGGUCGACGGCGUGCCUAUUGAAGAAUGAACCGGCGAGUUACGAAGCCUGGCAAGGUUAAGCAGGAAAUGCGGAGCCGAAGCGAAAGCGAGUCUUAAGAGGGCGCAAGUCAGGAAGCGUAGACCCGAAACCACAGUGAUCUACCCAUGUCCAGGUUGAAACACAGGUAAAAAUGUGUGGAGGACCGAACCUAUAUCCGUUGAAAAGGGUUAGGAUGAGGUGUGGGUAGGGGUGAAAUUCCAAUCGAACGUGGAGAUAGCUGGUUCUCCCCGAAAUAGCUUUAGGGCUAGCCUCAGGGAAAAGAUUGCAGGCGGUAGAGCACUGAUCAGGAGAGGGACCUACCCGGUUACCAAACCCAGUCAAACUCCGAAUGGCUGCAAUCAUACCUGGGAGUCAGACUGCGACUAAUAAGGGCCGUAGUCAAAAGGGAAACAGCCCAGACCAUCAGCUAAGGUCCCCAAUGCCGUGCUAAGUGGCGAAGGAUGUGGCAUUUCAUAAACAACCAGGAUGUUGGCUCAGAAGCAGCCACCAUUUAAAGAGUGCGUAAUAGCUCACUGGUCGAGAGACGCUGCGCCGAAAAUGUCCGGGGCUCAAGCACGGAACCGAAGCUAUGGCAUGAUAGCAAUAUCAUGGGUAGGGGAGCGUUCUUAUAAGGAAGAAGCAUGACCGGAAGGACAUGUGGACAAAUAAGAAGUGAGAAUGCCGGUAUGAGUAUCGAAAAGAAAGGUGAGAAUCCUUUCCACCGAAAGCCCGAGGGUUCCUGAGCAACGAUCGUCGACUCAGGGUAAGUCGGGACCUAAGCCGAGGCGAAAAGCGUAGGCGAUGGACAACAGGUUGAAAUUCCUGUACCGGAUCAAGUCGAUCGAGCGAAGGAGCGACGCAGGAGGGCACAUGAUCGCGCGGCUGGAAGAGCGCGUCCAAGUGCGUAUGUUGCAGCAGAGGAAAACCCCUGCAGCUAAAAGCAGAGACAUGAUGGGGAGUUAAAGGAAACUUUGACGAACUCAUGAAUCCCACACUGCCAAGAAAAACUUCUAGCGAGACAAGAUCCGCCCGUACCGUAAACCGACACAGGUAGGCGGGGAGAGAAUCCUAAGGUGCGCGGGAAAACCCUCGUUAAGGAACUCGGCAAAUUGCAUCCGUAACCUAGGGAGAAGGAUGGCCCCCGGUCAGUGAAGAGCAGAAACGCUCAGAGCUAAAAGGGGCGGCAGAAAAGAGGCCCAAGCAACUGUUUACCAAAAACACAGGUGCCUGCGAAAGCGAAAGCUGAAGUAUAGGUGCUGACGCCUGCCCGGUGCCGGAAGGUUAAGGAGAGAAGUUAGCGAAAGCGAAGCAUCGAACUGAAGCCCCGGUGAACGGCGGCCGUAACUAUAACGGUCCUAAGGUAGCGAAAUUCCUUGUCGGGUAAG
rnacentral:rRNA from 1 species